rnacentral:rRNA from 1 species
ACACCACUACGAGUUUGAUCAUGGCUCAGAACGAACGCUGGCGGCAGGCUUAACACAUGCAAGUCGAACGCUCGUAGCAAUACGGGAGUGGCGGACGGGUGAGUAACGCGCGGGAACGUGCCCUGAGGUACGGAAUAACUGCGGGAAACUGCAGCUAAUACCGUAUGAGCCCCGUGAGGGGGAAAGAUUUAUCGCCUUAGGAGCGGCCCGCGUCGGAUUAGCUAGUUGGUGGGGUAACGGCUUACCAAGGCUUCGAUCCGUAGCUGGUCUGAGAGGACGAUCAGCCACACUGGGACUGAGACACGGCCCAGACUCCUACGGGAGGCAGCAGUGGGGAAUCUUGCGCAAUGGGGGCAACCCUGACGCAGCCAUGCCGCGUGAAUGAUGAAGGCCUUAGGGUUGUAAAGUUCUUUUGCCCGUGACGAUGAUGACGGUAACGGGAGAAUAAGCUCCGGCUAACUUCGUG